AAAAGUAUGAUAAUGAUGUCAUAUACUCCCUCUGAUCCUAAAUAUAAGUCUUUUUUAAAGGUUUUAUUAAAGGCGCUGCUAGAAAUGAAAGUUUGGAGCCGUUGGAUCCUAAAUAUAAGUCAUUUUUAAAGGUUUUAUUAUCAGUCGUCCGAUCAACACGUUGGGCCGUUGGAUCCUAGCAAUGUCACGGUAGCAACGCAUCGCAACAGCUUCAAUAAUGUGCCAUGGCAGCCCCCUGGGAUGCUCCAACGCAGCAUCGACGGCUUCCAUCGAAGUCCAUUGCAACUCUGACCGAGCUUCAUUGCAGCUCCCACGAAGCUUCAACGCUCUGAAGAAGCUCCAUUGCAACUCCGGUCGAGCUCAAUUACAGCCUUCACGGAGUUCCGACAGCUCCAACGAAGCUAUAUUUCAACUCUGGUCGAGCUUCAUUGGAGCCCCCAGAUAGCAGCACUGGCAGCCGCUGAGGAGCGCUACAUCACAGCGCCGGAGGCGCCGACAAGUACUCCACUGAAGCUCCACCGCCUGCGACUUGCAGCAUCAGCAGUCGCCGAUGAGGUUGCAUCGCGUCAUGACGUUCGGCGACGAGUUGCUGAGUUGCAAUGCAAGCGAACG
rnacentral:lncRNA from 1 species